UUCUAAGGGCGUUGAAGCAUGAUCGCAAGGACAUGUGGAGCGCUUAGAAGUGAGAAUGCCGGUGUGAGUAGCGAAAGACGGGUGAGAAUCCCGUCCACCGAUUGACUAAGGUUUCCAGAGGAAGGCUCGUCCGCUCUGGGUUAGUCGGGUCCUAAGCUGAGGCCGACAGGCGUAGGCGAUGGAUAACAGGUUGAUAUUCCUGUACCACCAUUAUUCGUUUUAAGCGAUGGGGGGACGCAGUAGGAUAGGCGAAGCGUGCUGUUGGAGUGCACGUCCAAGCAGUGAGAUUGAGUGUUAGGCAAAUCCGGCACUCUUAAGAUUGAGCUGUGAUGGGGAGAGGAACUUGUUCCUCGAGUCGUUGAUUUCACACUGCCGAGAAAAGCCUCUAGCUAGAAUAACGGUGCCCGUACCGCAAACCGACACAGGUAGUCAAGAUGAGAAUUCUAAGGUGAGCGAGCGAACUCUCGUUAAGGAACUCGGCAAAAUGACCCCGUAACUUCGGGAGAAGGGGUGCUCUUUGAGGUUCACGCUUCGAAGAGCCGCAGUGAAUAGGCCCAAGCGACUGUUUAUCAAAAACACAGGUCUCUGCUAAACCGUAAGGUGACGUAUAGGGGCUGACGCCUGCCCG
rnacentral:rRNA from 1 species